rnacentral:rRNA from 1 species
CCUACGGGUGGCAGCAGUGAGGAAUAUUGGUCAAUGGACGAGAGUCUGAACCAGCCAAGUAGCGUGAAGGAUGACUGCCCUAUGGGUUGUAAACUUCUUUUAUAUGGGAAUAAAAUGUUCCACGUGUGGGAUUUUGUAUGUACCAUAUGAAUAAGGAUCGGCUAACGCCGUGCCAGCAGCCGCGGUAAUACGGAGGAUCCGAGCGUUAUCCGGAUUUAUUGGGUUUAAAGGGAGCGUAGGUGGAUUGUUAAGUCAGUUGUGAAAGUUUGCGGCUCAACCGUAAAAUUGCAGUUGAAACUGGCAGUCUUGAGUACAGUAGAGGUGUGCGGAAUUCGUGGUGUAGCGGUGAAAUGCUUAGAUAUCACGAAGAACUCCGAUUGCGAAGGCAGUUCACUGGACUGCAACUGACACUGAGGCUCGAAAGUGUGGGUAUCAAACAGGAUUAGAUACCCCAGUAGUC